UCGUAACAAGGUUUCCGUAGGUGAACCUGCGGAAGGAUCAUUACUGAUUUGCUUAAUUGCACCACAUGUGUUUUUUAUUGAACAAAUUUCUUUGGUGGCGGGAGCAAUCCUACCGCCAGAGGUUAUAACUAAACCAAACUUUUUAUUUACAGUCAAACUUGAUUUAUUAUUACAAUAGUCAAAACUUUCAACAACGGAUCUCUUGGUUCUCGCAUCGAUGAAGAACGCAGCGAAAUGCGAUACGUAAUAUGAAUUGCAGAUAUUCGUGAAUCAUCGAAUCUUUGAACGCACAUUGCGCCCUUUGGUAUUCCAAAGGGCAUGCCUGUUUGAGCGUCAUUUCUCCCUCAAACCCCCGGGUUUGGUGUUGAGCAAUACGCUAGGUUUGUUUGAAAGAAUUUACGUGGAAACUUAUUUUAAGCGACUUAGGUUUAUCCAAAACGCUUAUUUUGCUAGUGGCCACCACAAUUUAUUUCAUAACUUUGACCUCAAAUCAGGUAGGACUACCCGCUGAACUUAAGCAUAUCAAUAAGCGGG
rnacentral:rRNA from 1 species